GAAAAUAGAGUCCCUGAUGUCACGCUCUUAAGAAAACAGGAGUUGAAAGGGCCCCACACUGUGCGUGGAGCAAAUUAUCAACAGCAUCCCGAGUAACGACAGCAGCACCCAGCCGGCGGCCACAAAAGCUGCACGAAAGAUGCUCUCAGGCUGCCCCUAGAUGCCACCCCGGAUGCCGGCCUGGUGCACCCCCUUGUACACCUCCUGGAGAGGGCAGACAACCUCGGGCGCUGUCGUUCGUCAAGCUGCUCCGCUCGCCGCACAUCAACGUGGCAUGCAGAGCAAGCCGUGUGGGCGCCGGGAAACACUGCUGGAGACGGGCUCAAACUCAGAGACUUCGUCAUUAAGGCUGGCAUUGUACAACCUCUUCUGGAACUCAUUAGACCAGACACAGAGGAAAGUUCAUGAGGAUGUUUUCUUAUAUUUUAUAAUGGGAUGCUCCACCAUUCAGUGAUGUAUUCUUUCUUCACUUCAAAACUCAAGCACAAAGUGGAACAGUAAACUAAUGCUUAAAAGAGAAAGGAAAAAUAAACUGUUCAUCAGAAUAAACUGUCUUCAGUAUCUUCAGUCCUGUAGCAUCACCGCAUCAUAAUGAAUGUAUUGCUGAGUGUAGAUACACAGGUCUUUGUUGAGCAGGCAUGAAAAGGCGGCACCAGGUGGAAGGCCACAGCCACAGACGGCAGGCCAGUGCUGUUACACAAUACGGUGAUGGAGGCAGUGGUAGUGAACAGGGUUAUAACUUGUUGGCUGCUGGAAGGUGUUUGAAGAAUGGGUACUUUGAAUUACGAGAAGCUAAUAAAGUAAUGCAAAGGCUAGAGUUCAAUUCUCAGGUCUGAGGACAUGUAUCUUAACAUAAAUUCCUUAGUCAUUCAUUCAUUAUUGUCUUAGAAGACACAAUAAAACCCAGUGCGGUGAUGCCCCACUCGGACCGCUUCCUGCAUGCAUCAGUUAUUUGUGUGUCAUACCAGUGGGAGUAUUGUAGGUUAACAUGGCUCGUUAAUAUUCACCCAGCAAAGGGUUAUAAAUGUGUUCAUCUUCUCAGACUGCCGAGAUCAACGAGGUGGACCGCCUGGGCCAGAUGAGUGAGGAGUGCGGCGGACUGGACAAGACUGAGGACUGCAGCACCACGACAACGAGGCCGUGUACGAGAAGGCCCGGGAUGGAUAUCAUCGAGAAGUGUUCCGGCGAGGAGGAGGGCCCCGAGGUGAGCAGCACCACCAGUGGCCAGGCGUACGACUUCUCUGCCGUAAACAACGUGCCUGAGGGUGGAUUCUCUUUCUAGGACUUCAGUGUGUGUGUCUGGCAAGGGAGGAGCAGCAGCAGGCAGGGUGUGUGAGUUCCACGGCGAAAUAAUGUAAUAAUGUAUCUAACCGUCAAUCUCACUUGUCUAAGUGGCCUCUGCAGCAUGUUUUACUGGGCCUUCAGUGGACCCGCUGGUGCCUCAAUGUUUUACUGGGCCUUCAGUGGACCCGCUGGUGCCUCAAUGUUUUACUUGGCCUUCAGUGGACCCGCUGGUGCCUCAGUGUUUUACUGGGCCUUCAGUGGACCCGCUGGUGCCUCAGUGUUUUACUGGGCCUUCAGUGGACCCGCUGGUGCCUCAAUGUUUUACUGGGCCUUCAGUGGACCCGCUGGUGCCUCAGUGUUUUACUGGGCCUUCAGUGGAUCCGCUGGUGCCUCAAUGUUUUACUGGGCCUUCAGUGGACCCGCUAGUGCCUCAAUGUUUUACUGGGCCUUCAGUGGACCCGCUGGUGCCUCAAUGUUUUACUGGGCCUUCAGUGGACCCUCUGGUGCCUCAAUGUUUCACUGGGCCUUCAGUGGACCCGCUGGUGCCUCAAUGUUUUACUGGGCCUUCAGUGGACCCGCUGGUGCCUUUGUGUGUGUUUAAAAAUUGUUUGCUUGAUAGGCUGAAGCUUGAGGAAUUUUGUGGAUUACUUUUCAUAUUAGGUUAUGGCUCUUUUAGCUCUUUUUAUUCUUCCAAUAAAUUUAACUUUAUAAACUGCCUAAUGCAUUUGACUCAGAUGAGUUUUUUGUAAUAAGGGACCAAAUAAAUUUGUGCCAGAUGAUGAUAAAUCUGAACAUCCAGCACAAUGUAUCCUUC